AGAUAGAGCUUUCCCCUUCGGGGGACAAAGUGACAGGUGGUGCAUGGUUGUCGUCAGCUCGUGUCGUGAGAUGUUGGGUUAAGUCCCGCAACGAGCGCAACCCUUAAGCUUAGUUGCCAUCAUUAAGUUGGGCACUCUAAGUUGACUGCCGGUGACAAACCGGAGGAAGGUGGGGAUGACGUCAAAUCAUCAUGCCCCUUAUGAUUUGGGCUACACACGUGCUACAAUGGACAAUACAAAGGGCAGCGAAACCGUGAGGUCAAGCAAAUCCCAUAAAGUUGUUCUCAGUUCGGAUUGUAGUCUGCAACUCGACUACAUGAAGCUGGAAUCGCUAGUAAUCGUAGAUCAGCAUGCUACGGUGAAUACGUUCCCGGGUCUUGUACACACCGCCCGUCACACCACGAGAGUUUGUAACACCCGAAGCCGGUGGAGUAACCUUUUAGGAGCUAGCCGUCGAAGGUGGGACAAAUGAUUGGGGUGAAGUCGUAACAAGGUAGCCGUAUCGGAAGGUGCGGCUGGAUCACCUCCUUU
rnacentral:rRNA from 1 species